UACGGGGGGGGGCAAGCGUUGUUCGGAAUUACUGGGCGUAAAGGGCGCGUAGGCGGUUCGGUAAGUCCCGUGUGAAAUCCCUCGGCUCAACUGAGGAACUGCACGGGAGACUGCCGGGCUUGAGUUCGGGAGAGGGAAGCGGAAUUCCGGGUGUAGCGGUGAAAUGCGUAGAUAUCGGGAGGAACAUCAGUGGCGAAGGCGGCUACCUGGCCCAAUACUGACACUCAGGUGCGACAGCGUGGGGAGCAAACAGG
rnacentral:rRNA from 1 species